GACGAACGCUGGCGGCGUGCUUAACACAUGCAAGUCGAACGGAAAGGCCCUGCUUUUGUGGGGUGCUCGAGUGGCGAACGGGUGAGUAACACGUGAGUAACCUGCCCUUGACUUUGGGAUAACUUCAGGAAACUGGGGCUAAUACCGGAUAGGAGCUCCUGCUGCAUGGUGGGGGUUGGAAAGUUUGGGCGGUUGGGGAUGGACUCGGGGCUUAUCAGCUUGUUGGUGGGGUAGUGGCUUACCAAGGCUUUGACGGGUAGCCGGCCUGAGAGGGUGACCGGCCACAUUGGGACUGAGAUUCGGCCCAGACGCCUACGGGAGGCAGCAGUGAGGGAUAGUGCACAAUGGGAGGAAGCCUGAUGCAGCAACGCCGCGUGCGGGAUGACGGCCUUCGGGUUGUAAACCGCUUUCGCCUGUGACGAAGCGUGAGUGACGGUAAUGGGUAAAGAAGCACCGGCUAACUACGUG
rnacentral:rRNA from 1 species